GUAUCGAUUGUUGAGAUCUGGCGACUUGUUUAAAUUUCAUCAGCCUCACUUCUAUGAACUCUCAGAGCUGAUUACCAACUCCUACCACUGUUAACCCUCAUCCAGGAAAAAGCUUAUGUCUUUAACAUUCUGAGUGGGCUUCAGCAUCCUUGCAUAUGUUCAAUUCUUAAAAACCUGUUGAAAUAAAAGAUCAGGAGACAUAGGAAGGAUGCCAGAAGAGAGCGUGGCCUCAUGUGUACCAGCUCUCUGCUCUCCUUUGCCUUGGGACGUUCCAUCCCUGGAAGUUUCCCUGCCCACAUCUUUGUAGAGAGUCCAUUCUCCAAGCUUCAGUGUGUCAUCUGUGAGGACUGUGACCAACCUGGUACAUCGCCUCAGGGCAUUCAUUUCAGGCUCCUUCUAAAUGGUCAAGUUUUCAAGAUUGUUUUGGCUCUAGCAAAACAAGUUGGAACAUUCACAUCAUCCAUCUUCUGUCAGCCUAACAAGCAUAGCAAGAAGAUAUAGCCCCACAACCACUUUAUGCACAAAGUUAGAAGCAUAAAAUCUCAUGGAAAGAGACCGAUUAUCCACAGAAGAGGUUGUCUUGCCAUUUCUCUCAUGUUAGAGGUAAACCUCAGGUUCUCCUCCUGCCUUUUGCUAAGUAUAUGUCUUGAUGACAAGCCUUCUGCUGAUGAGCUGUGUUUCUGGACCGAUCAUGGUAGAAGUCAAUUAACGUGUCCCUCACUUGGGGUUUCUCAAGG
rnacentral:lncRNA from 1 species